AGUACGAGCGCACCCUUGUCCUUAUUUGCCAGCACGUAAUGGUGGGCACUCUAAGGAGACUGCCGGUGACAAACCGGAGGAAGGUGGGGAUGACGUCAAGUCCUCAUGGCCCUUACGGCCGGGGCUACACACGUGCUACAAUGGUUGGUACAACGGGCUGCCAAGUCGCGAGACGGAGCUAAUCCCAUAAAACCAAUCGUAGUCCGGAUCGCAGUCUGCAACUCGACUGCGUGAAGUCGGAAUCGCUAGUAAUCGUGGAUCAGAAUGCCGCGGUGAAUACGUUCCCGGGCCUUGUACACACCGCCCGU
rnacentral:rRNA from 1 species